UUCAGUGGCGAUAGCUGCGGGGAUCCACCUGUUCCCAUGCCGAACACAGCAGUUAAGCCCGC
rnacentral:rRNA from 1 species